AAACAAUCAAAAGGCUUGUGGUUGCAGUUGGACUAUAUGUCAUAAAAAUCCAUGGAUUUCUUCCCUCAUCUGAUACUGGGAACCAUAGCAUUAUUAGAUUAAGAUUUAUUGCAUUUUGUAAUUUUGUUACCCAUCAUAAUCCACAGUUAGCGGGGCAUCUUAUUACCAUAUCAAAAAAGCAAGUCAUCAUGUAGACUUAAAACUGAUAAUCUAG
rnacentral:misc_RNA from 1 species